ensembl:lncRNA
CUCUGGAUGAACUCCUCCAAGGGAAGGAAAUUGAUACGGGUCAGAAGCUCACAUCCACAUAAAGAAAGGAAGAGUGCGAGAGAAGAAAUCUAUGAAGAGUAGAAAACCAAGAAACAGAGAAAGUGGAUGAUUUGAAAAUGCAUUGUGGGGCAACGCAGACACAGAGCACACAAGCAAACCUAGCACGCGGUGGAGCUCAGUGAACAUUUGCUGAAUGCAGUUCAGGUUUCUGCCAGACAACCUUUUAUUACCUCAGAAAAGCAAUGCCCAGAUAACCUGAAGAAGCCUAAGAUGUUACCCAUACAUCCUGGAUCAACAUAGCUUCUGGCUUUGCUUUCCCAGUUUCUCUCCAAUCAAGACAACAGGAAAGAAUAUUUAAAAGAAAAGGGAAAGUGAAGGGCAAGGGGAAGAGUAGACCAGACUCUCCAAGGAAAACUCCUCCACAGCCAGUUCUCCGUGCAAGCGCGUCC